rnacentral:tRNA from 1 species
CGAGGUGUGGCGCAGUUUGGUAGCGCACCUGGUUUGGGACCAGGGGGCCGGAGGUUCAAAUCCUCUCACCUCGACCA